AUUGAACGCUUUCUGAAUGCUUUACACAUGCAAGUCGAACGGCAGCACGGGGGCAACCCUGGUGGCGAGUGGCGAACGGGUGAGUAAUACAUCGGAACGUGCCCGGUCGUGGGGGAUAACGUAGCGAAAGUUACGCUAAUACCGCAUACGAUCUGAGGAUGAAAGCGGGGGACCUUCGGGCCUCGCGCGAUCGGAGCGGCCGAUGUCAGAUUAGGUAGUUGGUGGGGUAAAGGCCUACCAAGCCGACGAUCUGUAGCUGGUCUGAGAGGACGACCAGCCACACUGGGACUGAGACACGGCCCAGACUCCUACGGGAGGCAGCAGUGGGGAAUUUUGGACAAUGGGCGCAAGCCUGAUCCAGCCAUUCCGCGUGCAGGACGAAGGCCUUCGGGUUGUAAACUGCUUUUGUAUGGAACGAAAAGGCUCUGGCUAAUACCUGGGGCUCAUGACGGUACCGUAAGAAUAAGCACCGGCUAACUACGUG
rnacentral:rRNA from 1 species